rnacentral:lncRNA from 1 species
GAUUUUGGAGUUUGCCACAGAUUAAAUUUUUCAGGUUUUUCUAACUAUUUUAAUGUCAAUGCCAUAAGCUUGAUUCUGCAUUUUCCAAUUUUUUUGUUUUGUUUUGUUUUUUGUUUGUUUGUUUGUUUGUUUUUUGAGACUGAGUCUCGCUCUGUCAUCUAGGCUGGAGUGCAAUGGUGUGAUCUCAGCUCAUCGCAGCCUCCACCUUCCAGGUUCAAGCGAUUCUCCUGAGGCAUCUGCCACCACACCUGGCUAAUUUUUUGUAUUUUUGGUAGAAAUGGGGAUUCACCAGGUUGGCCAGGCUGGUCUCGAACUCCUGACCUCAGAUGAUCCACCCACCUUGGCCUCCCAAAGUGCUGGGAUUACAAGUGUGAGCCACCACGCCCGGCCCCCAAUUUUUUAAAAAUACUCUUCAUAAUGUUGGGCUAAUGUCUGGAGUUCAGACAUGUUUGGAUUGUGUCAGCUAAUAUAAGUUUUCUGGAAAAUGUCAUGGAAUUCCAGUCUGAGAUUAUUUUCAAAGCUUGUGGCCAGAACAGAGGCAGUUUGGCAAGCCAGUUUCAGGCCCAAAUACUCUUUUCAUGUUGUCUCGAUGGCAACAAUCGAGGGUGAUAAUUAGCUACAGUUUCAUCCCUUUGUUGUUUACAAUUUUGAAUAUAUGACAAAUCUAGUCUCUGUGAUAGAUCUGAGGGAUGGAUCCUCUCCUAAUAAUUUUUCUUUUACUUCUUUCAGUUUCUGAUGAGAAUUGGGGGUAGUCUGAGAUCCUUGAAAGUCUUCUGGAAUUGUGGUACAUUUGGGUUUUUUAAACUAAAGGACCAACCAAUAGGUGGAUAAAUUGAUACAAAUUGGGGAACCCAGAGAGUAUACACCUAAGACAGUUCUAAAUUGUUCAAUACACCUUUACCUUUUCUUUUGGGAAUCAGGAAAGUCUUUGUUGAUGGCAUGUAAUUCAGACCAAUACCUAGGUUUAAAUGUUAUCUCUUCUGUUGGACUCACUUGGGAACAGGUACCAGCCAUACACUUGGCUUCAUCUUCAGGAGGUGGGGGCCUUGUGAACCAUACAGCUAUAAGGUUGAUCAGCUGGGAGUGCAACUGGUGGAGGACAUUCUGGGAGAGAAGGAUACAAAGGGAACAGCCCCACUUUCAGAGCUUGAAGCCCCAGAGAGACGGAGAGGGAAUGCACGCACCUGCACCUCCUGUGAAGGUCAGGGAGAUCUGUGACUAAGGAAGAUGCCAAUUAGCACCAGUCCACAGAGAGCUCUGGACAGACCUCUCCUGGGUACUUCUAAACUCUUAUUAUUUCAACAAUUCUAGGAAAGCAGCUCGUCAAAUGGAAAAAUCUGCAUUGGUGAUCACCCUGAACUGGGGCCAUCCCAGAAGGCAAGAGGGCAGGGGUCUUCUUAGGCAGUGGAGAAACGUGUUCUUCCUGUCCUUCGGGGAGGGGAAGCAGAAGCCUCUGGCGCUGCACAGUGGGCUGGCAGUCUCAUGGGUGCUGACUAGGUUGGGGAGCCCCACGUUCUGGCAUUGCUUCAGACCCGGCUGUCACCGAAGGGCUGUGUGGGCCCGAGCCUGUCCUGACUCUCAGUUUCCUGAUCUCUAGGAGGGAAUUAUCUUAUAUGGUCUCUUGCCUGUCUUCACUCUCAAAUGUACUAGAUUACGACACGCUCCCCGACUUCCACCCCGGGCAGGAAUUGCUCUCACCCAGGGUUAUAGGAGCCUGUGUGGCACACCCUACUCUCACCCACCAGGCCAGACUGAAGAAACCAACACAGCUGGUUACCUCUGUCCCUCUUCAGUGAGGGCACUUCCCAGAGCCACCCUGUUGUGAUCAUGGGCCGCCUCCUGGUGGCCUGGGAGGUGGGAUUCAGAGGGGCUCUAGGCAGGCAGGUUGGGGGUAAGAUCAGCAGCAGCCCCACUGCUGCUUGAAAAGAUCGAC